ACAGGUAUAGCUCAGUGGUAGAGCACAUGCUUAGCAUGCAUGAGGUCCUGGGUUCAAUCCCCAGUACCUCCA
rnacentral:tRNA from 1 species